rnacentral:rRNA from 1 species
UCAAAUGAAUUGACAGGGGCCCGCACAAGCGAGGAACAUGUUGGUUUAAUUCGAUGAUACGCGAGGAACCUUACCUGGGUUUAAAUGUAGGUUGCAUGGGGGGAAACUUCCCUUUCCUUCGGGACUACUUACAAGGUGCUGCAUGGUUGUCGUCAGCUCGUGCCGUGAGGUGUCGGGUUAAGUCCCAUAACGAGCGCAACCCCUAUCGUUAGUUGCCAGCAAGUAAAGUUGGGGACUCUAGCGAGACUGCCGGUGUAAACCGUGAGGAAGGUGGGAUGACGUCAAAUCAGCACGGCCCUUAUAUCCAGGGCUACACACGUGUUACAAUGGUCGGUACAAAGAGCAGCCACUUGGUGACAAGGCGCUAAUCUCAAAAGCCGAUCUCAGUUCGGAUCGAAGUCUGCAACUCGACUUCGUGAAGUUGGAUUCGCUAGUAAUCGCGCAUCAGCCAUGGCGCGGUGAAUACGUUCCCGGGCCUU